UACGGGGGGAGCAAGCGUUGUUCGGAUUUAUUGGGCGUAAAGAGCUCGUAGGCGGUUUGGCGCGUCGUUCGUGAAAACUCACAGCUCAACUGUGAGCUUGUGGUCGAUACGGGCAGGCUAGAGUUCGGUAGGGGAGACUGGAAUUCUUGGUGUAGCGGUGAAAUGCGCAGAUAUCAGGAGGAACACCGGUGGCGAAGGCGGGUCUCUGGGCCGAUACUGACGCUGAGGAGCGAAAGCGUGGGGAGCGAACAGG
rnacentral:rRNA from 1 species